rnacentral:lncRNA from 10 species
CUGUAAUCCUAGCUACUCAAGAGGCUGAGGCAGGAGAAUCACUUGAACCCAGGAGGUGGAGGUUGCAGUGAGCCAACACCACACCACUGCACUCCAGCCUGGGCAACAAAAGCGAAACUCUGGGCCAGGCGCGGUGGUUCACACCUGUCAUUCCAGCACUUUUGAGAGGCUGAGUAAGGCGGGGAUCACGAGGUCAAAGAUGAAGACCAUCCUGGCAAACAUGGUGAAACCCCAUCUCUACUAAAAACACAAAAAUUAGCCAGGCGUGGUGGCGCGCACCUGUAGUCCCAGCUACUCAGGAGGCUGAGGCAGAAGAAUUGUUUGAACCCGGGAGGCGGAGGUUGCAGUGAGCCAAGAUCACACCACUGCAUUUCAGCCUGGUGACAGAGCGAGACUCCAUCUUAAAAAUAAAAAAAAAAAAAAGAAAGAAAGAAAUGGAAAAUAGGCCAGGCCUGGGGGCUCACACCUGUAAUCCUAAUACUUUGGGAGGCCAAGGUGGGUGGAUCACCUGAGGUCAGGAGUUCAAGACCAGCCUGGCCAACAUGAUGGUGAAACCCCAUCUCUACAAAAAUAUAAAAACUAGCCAGGCAUGAUGGUGGGUGCCUAUAAUCCCAGCUACUCGCAAGGCUGAGGCAGGAGAACUGUUUGAAAUCAGGAGGCGGAGGUUGCAGUGAGCCGAGAUCGCGCCAUUGCAUUCCAGCCUGGCUGAAAGACACUCCAUUUCAAAAAAAAAAAAAAAGAAAAGAAAAAAAUGGAAAACAAAGUCCUACUGAAAGGUGGAUACUCAGGGAAUUCACAAAUUCACUCCAGGACAUAAGCCUUACACUGCGCCACUCAAAUUCCUACCUCGGCUAAAUGACAAGACUGUAUGUCACAAAUUUCCCCAGUUUCUCAGGAAAACUAUAAAUACCAACUUUACAAACAUGAAAAGCUUACUGUACUGCUCACUUUGGCAACACAUAUACUAAAACUGGGAGGAUACAGAAAAGAUUAGCAUGGCCCCUGUGCAAGGAUGACACAAUAAAGAAACCCUUUUUAUAGAAAAAUUUAAAAAAUUAAAAUAGAAAGCUGACUGUACACACACCUAGAUGUGUUUAAAAGUCAUGCUUUUUUUCCUACCCCACACCCUUCCUUGGUAUGAGAAAGGAAUGAACACUACACACCAUCCAUAGGCUUAUCCUACUCCAGUACUGAUAGAAGUUAAACUAUUCUUAAAGCGUAUGGUAUUAGAAGCAUGGUGCCACGACCUCCAUUUCCAGCCUAGCCUAAUUCAACCUUUUUCAGGUAACGAGGCGCUUUUACACUCUUGGAGAUAAUAUUACACUAAUGUUAAAUGGAAUGUGAGUAUCCAACAGACCUGAUAUACUACAGCCCAGCCCCCGAGCACCAAAGAUUCUCCAAAACUCUCCACAAAUAUUCCCCUGCCACAUUUCUUCUGCCUCACACUCAACAAUCCACAAAGCAGAAGCAGAGAAGGAACUCUUCCCACUUUCAAAC